UCCUGCACCCCCACAUUAUACCCCGGCAGAAGAGCUGGCCCUUGGGCUAAAUGUGAACCGACCCGUUGUGGAGGGCAUCCCUGGGGGCAGCUCUUCCUUAGACCUACAGCCAAGGACCAGUAACAGCAACACCUUAAUUACAGUUUUACAUAAUACACCAACACUUUUACCUGUUCCCAAGGAAGUGGUGGCUGAAAUAUGUGCAGACAGUGAAGAAACCCUCUCAGAUGACUGUCCUUUGGAGGAAGUACUUGUAAGUGCAUAAAUAACUUUAUUUUAUUUCUAGUUGUGUGCAUAUUAUGUCUGACUGCAAUAUGAGUUGCAGGAGGAAACGCCUACAGACAGGCCUACAGCACGAAGUGAUACAGAGGGUGAUAUCCGUACCCUAUAUAAACGGAAUCUUCAACAGAAAAUUGAGUAUUUUGACCUUAAAAAACAAAAAUUAAGGGGAGAAAUAGAACUUGACAUCUUAAAGAAGACAAAACUGGCACUAGAGAUUGAGUUGCUUCAAAAGGAACUUCAGAGUAAGUGCUAAAACACUAUUUUUCACAAAGAGUACUAUUGCUAACCUUGGAUAACAAUAUAUCUUAUUGCAGGCAAAAGAUGACCAUCACUGGCUUAUCAAGACAAACAAUAAUUGAAAUAAAACUCAAUGAACUAAGCAUGUUGUCUUGUCUUCUAUUAUUCAUUUAAUGAAGGUUUUAAAUUAUUGUUUGUGCUGGUUGCACAAAGUCCAGUCUGUCAGGAAAUCGUGUACAUUUUCCUUGUAGGAAAAGCAAGGUUUUUCGUUUUUGGGUGCGUUUUGUGCAGGUGAAAUGAGCAGACU